CGUACGCCCAGGAGCAAGAACAAGGGGUUCCAAACCCUAGUUCAACAAAUCGAUCAAAUUGAAGCCCAAAUCAAGAGCCAAAUCAAUGCAUGAACACAAAUUAGUGAUCACCUCAGUGAAAUGAUCAUAAGUUUGACGCCUAACGAGCUAGGUGGAGGCUUGGGAAAGGAAGCGGGUCAAACAAAUCAAGAAUGGAGGAAAAGCACAAUUCGGAUGCAAAGUACACUAUGGGAUGCCGGAAGACGAUCAAGCUCAACGAAGAAC